rnacentral:rRNA from 1 species
GACGAACGCUGGCGGCGUGCCUAAUACAUGCAAGUUGAGCGAUGAAGCUUGGUGCUUGCACCAAUUUGAAGAGCAGCGAACGGGUGAGUAACGCGUGGGGAAUCUGCCUUUGAGUGGGGGACAACAUUUGGAAACGAAUGCUAAUACCGCAUAACAACUUUAAACAUAAGUUUUAAGUUUGAAAGAUGCAAUUGCAUCACUCAAAGAUGAUCCCGCGUUGUAUUAGCUAGUUGGUGAGGUAAAGGCGCACCAAGGCGAUGAUACAUAGCCGACCUGAGAGGGUGAUCGGCCGCAUUGGGACUGAGACACGGCCCAAACUCCUACGGGAGGCAGCAGUAGGGAAUCUUCGGCAAUGGACGAAAGUCUGACCGAGCAACGCCGCGUGAGUGAAGAAGGUUUUCGGAUCGUAAAACUCUGUUGGUAGAGAAGAACGUUGGUGAGAGUGGAAAGCUCAUCAAGUGACGGUAACUACCCAGAAAGGGACGGCUAACUACGUG